rnacentral:lncRNA from 1 species
GCUUGUGGUAAGCAAUGAAAAGAGGAAAGGUGGAACAACAUUCCACAGCUUUGGUUGUUUCGGUGCAAUGGUAGCUAACAAACCUGACAUCAGCUGAGCUGCCAUAGUGAGCACCCUCAGUAAUUCCCUUCCUUCCUCAGCAGCCAAGAGACUCAGCCUACAUAUCUGAGUCACUGCUUCACAUCCUGCCUUGCUUCAGCACUUCCUUAUAUAAAGCAGAGACUCCUCAGAGCAGCAGACUGAACUUCCAUCCACUUCAAACAGGACAGCAAGAAAUCCCAUAGACAAAAGGAGCAUCUGAUGAAGUCAAUGAGGUGGAAGGAUUCCUAAGGGCCAGCAAACCUAAAAAAUGAAACGGGAGACUGCCUGGAUGUUUGCUUGCUUGCUGAUUGCAUCUCUACCCAGAGGUCACCCAGACAUGACAUGCCACGCAUCUGUGGGAGACACUGUUGUGCUGCCUUGCACCAGCACCUCUCCUGAAGAGCUGGACAUUUCCCAGUCAAGGCUCUACUGGCAGAAAGAGGAUGACGUAGUGCAUUUCUUUCAAGAAGGGCAUGAUGAUCUGAAGUUACAGGAUGAGCAAUAUCAUGGCAGAACCAGCCUCUUUUUAAACAAGGUGAAGCACGGCAACUUUUCCUUAAAGCUCUCCAAUGUCCAGCUACAGGACGAAGCUGUGUACAGUUGCAUCUACAGCCAGUCUGGGCAUCAAACACAGAAAUCUAAAAUUAAGCUCAGUGUAUCAGAUUUACCUAGAACUGAGGAGAAACAUCAGUAUCCUGGACAUGCACAGAUUUCCGUUAGAAGUGCUGGUGAUGCACCACAUCUGGAUGUACUGCCCCUCUCUUUUCAUCUCCUGGUGGCAGUAGGGGUUUGGCACCUGUACCUGGGGAAACUGACCUUCUUCUCCUUGGAAGCUGUUCUCAAUAACAGAGACUUGCCAGGGAGACCAGCUCUGUAA